AUACGGAGGAUGCAAGCGUUAUCCGGAUUUAUUGGGUUUAAAGGGUGCGUAGGCGGGCUGUUAAGCGUGAGGUGAAAGCUCGGGGCUCAACCCCGGAACUGCCUCGCGAACUGGCGGUCUUGAAUGUCCGUGCCGUGGGGGGAAUGUGGGGUGGAGCGGUGGAAUGCAUAGAGAUCACACAGAACACCGAUUGCGAAGGCAUCUCACGAACGGAUGAUUGACGCUGAGGCACGAAAGCGUGGGGAUCAAACAGGAUUAGAUACCCUGGUAGUCCACGCAGUAAACGAUGAUGACUAACCGUUGGUCUUAUCAGAUCAGUGGCCAAGCGAAAGCGAUAAGUCAUCCACCUGGGGAGUACGACCGCAAGGUUGAAACUCAAAGGAAUUGGCGGGG
rnacentral:rRNA from 1 species